rnacentral:rRNA from 1 species
GUCUACGGCCAUACCACCCUGAACGCACCCGAUCUCGUCUGAUCUCGGAAGCUAAGCAGGGUCGGGCCUGGUUAGUACUUGGAUCGGAGAGAGAGAGAGAGAGAAGGUGUGUGUAUGUG